UGUCCGAAAUCGCACAAUCAUGUCCGACAUCGCUCUUCCACCACCGCCUGAUGAGGACGAACAACCUUGGCUGUAUCUAAAAUAAAUGUUGUUUUAUUUCCUCUGGAUGAAGGAUUCAUCCUACCGGAUGGAAUGUGUGUUAUGUUUACCAAAGUUCAGGAAAUACUAGCGUUCAAGAACUCGCCGUCGAACCUACAAGAGAAAGCAUGUACACCAUCUGAAGAAGAUCUUAUCAAGGCCCACACUGCGCUCCAGGAUUGAUGAAGCCUCCAAGGAAAUGAAGAAGGUGACUCCAUGAGAGGAGUUGACCACAUCGCCACCACCACCGACUGCUGGUCUGCAAGAAGACGGAGCUUCAUUGGUGUUGCAGCCCACUGUAACACCAACAGUCUCAACAAAUGCUCAGCAGCCCUGGCCUGUAAACGGUUGAGAAGAUCGCACACCUUUGAUGUGUUAGCAGGUGCCCUAAAUGACACCCAUUUGGAGUUUGAAAUCCGGAUUAAGAUUGUGAGAACCACAGACAAUGGCUCUAACUUCUUGAAAGCUUUCCAUGUUUUUGAAGCAGCUCAGCCAGUACAGGAAGUUUGUGAAGUUUGUGGAGUUUGUUGACGUGGCAACGAUCCUGAAUGAAGAUGAUGGUUUUGAGUACCAGCUGCCUGCCGCCUACUCAACUUAGUAUCUACAGUCGAUGCCCUGAAAGCAACAUUCAGUGAGGCUUACAAAAAAGGGUCCCGUUCAACAUUUGGCAAGUGCCAAAGACUUUGGAACAAAUGCAGAAGAUCCACACUUGCAGCCGAAACGGUUGAAGAUGCCUGUUACCUCCAGCUGCUGCCCCCGAAUGCUACAAGGUGGAACUCCUGGUUCAUGGCUGUAGAAAGACUCCUGAGGAUCAUCAAAGACAGAGGAGUGGCAGUCGUCAGAGUUAUCCGCACAGACUUCGAGGUUCCAAUGUUCAAUCCAGCAGAACCCGCCUUCCUCACAGAGUAUGCUGCCACCAUGAGCCCAGUCGCAAAGGCCAUCAAUAUCCUGCAGGCUGAAACCAGAUGGGGUGGCUACUUCCAACCUCCUGAUCACAAAACUUGACCGAAUCAAGUUGUCCCUGAAGUACUGUAAACCUCUGGUGGAUGUGCUACAACUGGGACUGAAGAAGCACUUCAGCCACGUGUCACGAUCCUGAGCUGAUGGCAGCUGCAAUCCUUCUCCCCAAAUUCAAAACAACGUGGACAAAGGAUGACGCCACCAUCAAAAUGGGAAUGGACUACAUCAAGGACCACCUGGAAGAACCCUUGCAGCAGCUAGGCGAUGGCACCAGUUCAUCAGAUGAGGAGGACUUCUUCUCUGCCAUGAAAACGUCUCAAGCACAAGAAAGCUCCAAACAGCUGUACGGACGCCUGGCCUGUUCAGCUGAUCAUAUGGAGUUGCUCAAGUCCUUCCCGGCAGUCUGUAAGCCGCCUCUGAGGUUAAACACACCCUUACCUGCAUCAGUAGCCUGUGAAAGGCUGUUCAGGAUUGCAGGAUUUGUUUACAGCCCCAGGAGAGCAAGGCUGGACUCCAGAAACUUUGAAAACCAGCUUUUUACUGAAGAUGAACCGUAAAUUCAACUUCAAGUAAUGACAGCUUAACGCUAGCAAGCCCAAGGACACGGAUGGCUUAUGCAUUUUGUUAAUUUAUGUUUAAAAUUCACAAGUUAUAGGUGUCCUUGUUACAAAGGACUGACACACUGAUUUCUAAUACUGUCCCAU